UACGGGGGGGGCAAGCGUUGUUCGGAAUUACUGGGCGUAAAGGGCUCGUAGGCGGCCAACUAAGUCAGACGUGAAAUCCCUCGGCUUAACCGGGGAACUGCGUCUGAUACUGGAUGGCUUGAGUUUGGGAGAGGGAUGCGGAAUUCCAGGUGUAGCGGUGAAAUGCGUAGAUAUCUGGAGGAACACCGGUGGCGAAGGCGGCAUCCUGGACCGGCAUUGACGCUGAGGAGCGAAAGCCAGGGGAGCAAACGGG
rnacentral:rRNA from 1 species